UGGGGAAUUUUGCACAAUGGGGGAAACCCUGAUGCAGCGACGCCGCGUGAUUGAGAAGGCCUUCGGGUUGUAAAAAUCUUUUCUAUGGGAAGAAAAUGACAGUACCAUAGGAAUAAGGACCGGCUAAUUACGUGCCAGCAGCCGCGGUAAUACGUAAGGUCCGAGCGUUGUCCGGAAUCAUUGGGCGUAAAGGGUACGUAGGCGGGUAAGCAAGCUAGAAGUGAAAUCCUAUAGCUCAACUAUAGUAAGCUUUUAAAACUGCUCAUCUUGAGGUAUGGAAGGGAAAGUGGAAUUCCUAGUGUAGCGGUGAAAUGCGCAGAUAUUAGGAGGAAUACCGGUGGUGAAGGCGACUUUCUGGCCAUAACCUGACGCUGAGGUACGAAAGCGUGGGUAGCAAACAGG
rnacentral:rRNA from 1 species